rnacentral:rRNA from 1 species
UGAGGAAUAUUGGUCAAUGGGCGCAGGCCUGAGCCAGCCAAGUCGCGUGAGGGAGGACGGUCCUAUGGAUUGUAAACCUCUUUUGUCGGGGAGUAACGUGCGGGACGCGUCCCGUAUUGAGAGUACCCGAAGAAGAAGCACCGGCUAACUCCGUGCCAGCAGCCGCGGUAAUACGGAGGGUGCAAGCGUUAAUCGGAAUAACUGGGCGUAAAGGGCAUGCAGGCGGUUUAUCAAGUAGGAUGUGAAAGCCCCGGGCUCAACCUGGGAAUUGCAUUCUAAACUGAUAGACUAGAGUAUUGCAGGGGGAGACGGAAUUCCAGGUGUAGCGGUGGAAUGCGUAGAUAUCUGGAAGAACACCAAAGGCGAAGGCAGUCUCCUGGGCAAAUACUGACGCUCAUAUGCGAAAGCGUGGGUAGC